GGGCGUUUGGCACAGUGGUAGCGCGCCUGCUUUGCAUUGAUGCAAGUUGCAUGAGGUCGAGGGUUCAAUCCCCUCAACGUCCA
rfam:Dichomitus squalens LYAD-421 SS1 unplaced genomic scaffold DICSQscaffold_4, whole genome shotgun sequence.